rnacentral:rRNA from 1 species
AAUCAACGCUGGCGGCGUGCCUCAGACAUGCAAGUCGAACGCGAAAGUCCCCUUCGGGGGACAAGUAGAGUGGCGCACGGGUGAGUAACACGUAGGUAAUCUACCUUCGGAUGGGGAAUAACAACCGGAAACGGUUGCUAAUACCGCAUAAUGCAGCGGCACCUAAUGGUGACAGUUGUUAAAGCGGGGGAUCGAAAGACCUCGCGUCUGAAGAGGAGCCUGCGGCGGAUUAGCUAGNGGUAAGGUAAUGGCUUACCAAGGCGACGAUCCGUAGCCGGCCUGAGAGGGGCGGUCGGCCACACUGACACUGACAUACGGGUCAGACUCCUACGGGAGCAGCAGUCGGGAAUUUGGGCAAUGGGCGAAAGCCUGACCCAGCAACGCCGCGUGAAGGAUGAAAUCCCUCGGGAUGUAAACUUCGCAAGAACGGGAAGAAUAAAGUAGGGGACAAUACCCCCUAUGAUGACGG